rnacentral:lncRNA from 1 species
UUUACUAUCUCACGCUAGUUUACUUUGGAUAGAGAGUUAAAGAUAGCUGCUAUAACUUGAUCCAAGACACAAUGUGUAGUGAAACAGCCAAUAGUCAUGUUCAUUACAUCUAGAAGAUAAAAUCCUUUCGGAAUGUUAAAUGUCUUUUUCUUGUAUCUAGAAAAAACCCAGAUGAAGAAGAUGACGCAGCCAAAACGAAGCAGGAUCUUCUCUCUCGAGGUAGUUCUUUAGAGGCCAACAAGUUACCUCCAAACGAUGAAACCGAGAGUUCCCAGCACACUAACCGAAGAGUUAGCCGACGCGAGCAAGGAGGACUCUAAUAAUGGCGAUGAUGAUUCAACCUCUGAUCCACCCUUGUCCAGAUUGUCCCAACAACUUGGAUCAAAGAUAGCUUGAACUGAAAUACCAAAACUAGGCAACAUGCUGGUGAUUUUNNNN